rnacentral:rRNA from 1 species
GUUGUAUAGUCAAGUAAUUAAGUGCAUGUGGUGGAUGCCUUGGCAGUCAGAGGCGAUGAAAGACGUGAUAGCCUGCGAAAAGCUCCGGGGAGGCGGCAAAUAUCCUUUGAUCCGGAGAUGUCUGAAUGGGGGAACCCACCUACUUUAAGGUAGGUAUUGCAACAUGAAUACAUAGUGUUGCAAGGCGAACGAGGGGAAGUGAAACAUCUCAGUACCCUUAGGAAAAGAAAUCAAUUGAGAUUCCCUCAGUAGCGGCGAGCGAACGGGGAUCAGCCCAUUAAGUUAUGUGUGUUUUAGUGGAACGCUCUGGGAAGUGCGAACGUAGAGGGUGAUAUUCCCGUACACGAAAGGGCACACAUAAUGAUGACGAGUAGGGCGAGGCACGUGAAACCUUGUCUGAAUAUGGGGGGACCAUCCUCCAAGGCUAAAUACUCCUGACUGACCGAUAGUGAACCAGUACCGUGAGGGAAAGGCGAAAAGAACCCCUGUGAGGGGAGUGAAAUAGAUCCUGAAACCGCAUGCAUACAAGCAGUGGGAGCACCUUCGUGGUGUGACUGCGUACCUUUUGUAUAAUGGGUCAGCGACUUAUAUUCAGUAGCGAGGUUAACCGUAUAGGGGAGCCGUAGAGAAAUCGAGUCUUAAUAGGGCGUUUAGUUGCUGGGUAUAGACCCGAAACCAGGCGAUCUAUCCAUGAGCAGGUUGAAGGUUGGGUAACACUAACUGGAGGACCGAACCCACUGUCGUUGAAAAGCCAGGGGAUGACUUGUGGAUAGGGGUGAAAGGCUAAUCAAGCCUGGUGAUAGCUGGUUCUCCCCGAAAGCUAUUUAGGUAGCNNNNNNNNNNNNNNNNNNNNNNNNNNNNNNNNNNNNNNNNNNNNNNNNNNNNNNNNNNNNNNNNNNNNNNNNNNNNNNNNNNNNNNNNNNNNNNNNNGCGCCUCGGACGAAUACCAUAGGGGGUAGAGCACUGUUUCGGCUAGGGGGUCAUCCCGACUUACCAAACCGAUGCAAACUCCGAAUACCUAUGAGUACUAUCCGGGAGACAGACUGCGGGUGCUAACGUCCGUAGUCAAGAGGAAAACAAUCCAGACCGCCAGCUAAGGCCCCAAAAUCAUAGUUAAGUGGGAAACGAUGUGGGAAGGCAUAGACAGCUAGGAGGUUGGCUUAGAAGCAGCCACCCUUUAAAGAAAGCGUAAUAGCUCACUAGUCGAGUCGGCCUGCGCGGAAGAUGUAACGGGGCUAAAACUAUGUGCCGAAGCUGCGGAUGUAUACUUUGUAUACGUGGUAGGGGAGCGUUCUGUAAGCCGAUGAAGGUGUGUUGAGAAGCAUGCUGGAGGUAUCAGAAGUGCGAAUGCUGACGUGAGUAACGACAAAACGGGUGAAAAACCCGUUCGCCGAAAGACCAAGGGUUCCAGUCCAACGUUAAUCGGGGCUGGGUGAGUCGACCCCUAAGGCGAGGCCGAAAGGCGUAGUCGAUGGGAAAAUGGUUAAUAUUCCAUUACUUCUGUGUAAUGCGAUGAGAGGACGGAGAAGGCUAAAUCAGCCUGGCGUUGGUUGUCCAGGUGAAAGGAUGUAGGCAUGUAUCUUAGGCAAAUCCGGGGUACUCUAUGCUGAGAUCUGAUAGCAAGCUGUACUUGUACAGCGAAGUGGUUGAUGCCAUGCUUCCAGGAAAAGUCUCUAAGCUUCAGUUACACAGGAAUCGUACCCGAAACCGACACAGGUGGUCAGGUCGAGUAGACCAAGGCGCUUGAGAGAACUCUGCUGAAGGAACUAGGCAAAAUGGUACCGUAACUUCGGGAGAAGGUACGCUGUUGUUGGUGAUGGAACUCGCUUCCUGAGCUGACGACAGCCGCAGAAACCAGGCCGCUGCAACUGUUUAUUAAAAACAUAGCACUCUGCAAACACGAAAGUGGACGUAUAGGGUGUGAUGCCUGCCCGGUGCUGGAAGGUUAAUUGAUGGGGUUAGCGUAAGCGAAGCUCUUGAUCGAAGCCCCAGUAAACGGCGGCCGUAACUAUAACGGUCCUAAGGUAGCGAAAUUCCUUGUCGGGUAAGUUCCGACCUGCACGAAUGGCAUAAUGAUGGCGGCGCUGUCUCCAGCAGAGGCUCAGUGAAAUCGAAAUCGCUGUGAAGAUGCAGUGUACCCGCGGCUAGACGGAAAGACCCCGUGAACCUUUACUGCAGCUUGACACUGAACUUUGACCUUACUUGUGUAGGAUAGGUGGGAGGCUUUGAAGCUGGAACGCUAGUUCCAGUGGAGCCGUCCUUGAAAUACCACCCUGGUAAUGUUGAGGUUCUAACUCUGUCCCGUGAUCCGGGACGAGGACCGUGUCUGGUGGGUAGUUUGACUGGGGCGGUCUCCUCCUAAAGAGUAACGGAGGAGUACGAAGGUGCGCUCAGCGUGGUCGGAAAUCACGCGUAGAGUAUAAAGGCAAAAGCGCGCUUAACUGCGAGACCCACAAGUCGAGCAGGUACGAAAGUAGGUCUUAGUGAUCCGGUGGUUCUGUAUGGAAGGGCCAUCGCUCAACGGAUAAAAGGUACUCUGGGGAUAACAGGCUGAUACCGCCCAAGAGUUCAUAUCGACGGCGGUGUUUGGCACCUCGAUGUCGGCUCAUCUCAUCCUGGGGCUGAAGCAGGUCCCAAGGGUAUGGCUGUUCGCCAUUUAAAGAGGUACGCGAGCUGGGUUUAGAACGUCGUGAGACAGUUCGGUCCCUAUCUACCGUGGGCGCUGGAAAUUUGAGAGGAUCUGCUCCUAGUACGAGAGGACCAGAGUGGACGAACCUCUGGUGUACCGGUUGUGACGCCAGUCGCAUCGCCGGGUAGCUAUGUUCGGAAGGGAUAACCGCUGAAAGCAUCUAAGCGGGAAGCCUACCUCAAGAUAAGAUUUCCCUAGGACUUUAUGUCCUCUAAAGAGCCGUUCGAGACUAGGACGUUGAUAGGUUGGAUGUGGAAGCAUAGUGAUAUGUGAAGCUGACCAAUACUAAUUGCUCGUGAGGCUUGACUAUACAACACCCAAGCAGUUG